GGAGAUAUUCAGUUAUCCCCCUCUUUAAAGGAGGAAAGGAGGCUGGUAACGCGUCGAUACAAGAGAUAUUGCUCUAUAAACAGUAACGUCGUUAUCUGUCAUGCCACCGUGGGUUAGCGGUCAUGGUUAACCAAAUAGGGCAGGUUAUUGCAAAGAGACAUCCGCGUUUAUACCCAAAAUAAUCCGUAGCCAACACAUAAGCAACUUGAAGUAUGAAGGGUAUAUGUCUGAUGGAAAAUCGUCCCUGGUGAGUAGGGUAAUAGCGCCGGAGGGGCUCCGGCGCUUUUU
rnacentral:sRNA from 1 species